CAAACGGCUACGACACACCGCGUAAAGGAACGUGUUCGCGAUGACGACAAUCGGCUUUCAAAAUAAAAGUCCAACUGCGGAGGAGGAAGUGCGUCCUUCAGAUUAGCGCCCCCUAUUGUCUCCGCUUCAGCAUUCCAGUUACUGAUGGUGUAAUCUGUCUCGUGGAGCCUUCUUCCUCCAUGCUGUUGAGGAUGAUGAAGACACCUUAUCAGCUGCCACAGAGAGGGAAGAUGUAGAGAGGCCUGUUGAGAGAGAACAAUGCUGGAAAUUACAAUGAAGAAGGUCCAUGAACGUGUCUAACAGCUCUUCCAUCUCGUGCAUCAGCAGGGGGGUCAGGAUUAUUAUCUGGAUCAUUGGGGGAAAGAGUAGGACAUUGUUCUCCUCUAAUAGUGGCAAUGUUGCCCUUUCUAGGGUGACCCUGAGCCUACAAAGGCACUGGAACCGGGCCCCACUCUGGCUCGUGUCCUGCAGUGAGCCAAGUUGUGUUGGAAUGUUCUGCAGCCCCAUACCAACAGACUGCUCUGCACUGUGUGUUCGGACCCCUUUCUAUCAGAACCAGCAUUAACUGUUUCAGCAGUUUGAGCUACAGUAGCUCUUCUGUUGGAUCGGACCACACGGGCCAGCCUUCACUCCCCACGUGCAUCAAUGAGCCUUGGCCCCCCCCAUGACCCUGUCUCCGGUUCUUUUCCUUCCUUGGAGCACUUUUGAUAGGUACUGACCACUGCAGACCAGGAACACCCCACAAGAGCUGAUCAACUGUACAGUGAACCCAAUAACUGCAGGAAGUUUGUGUAAACUAAGUGACUUGGAUGAAGAAGAAGAUUAUUUCCUGUGAAUAUUGAUCAAAGAUGAGUUUUCCUGAUAUUUUAGGAACUUUUUAUACAAUUCUGUCUGUAUUGUGUAUUUUUUACAUGACUUUUCAACAAUCAUACAGACUUAAUAGUUGUUUUGGACAGAUUUAGUGUUUCCUUCUCAUUGUUGUUUAGCAGAGGUUUAACAGGCUGUUUAACAGAGGUCGUCCACUACUCCUUAGUGAUGGCAGUUCGACACUGAAGCUUCGAUACGUGCUUCAAACCCUGAACUACAAUUCCAUAAAACCACAGCUUCAAAGCUUGCUUUGGUGCAAAAAAAAUCAUGUGAGGUGGCCGUCAAAAGCAGCAACUGCUUCAUUGCCUGAAUGAAUCGCCUGAUUGGACCGCUGGCACUGCCUUGUCUCAAUUCUGACAGGUGACAGGUUGAGACAGUUUUGAAUUUGAGCGCCUUUAACACUUUAUAACCGCAAAUGUGAAGAAAUUGUGAGCAAGAAAAGAAACCGGCUCAACCCAAAAACUGUUGUGAAUAAAUGAUGUACCAUAAUAAAAA